CCUACGGGAGGCAGCAGUAGGGAAUCUUCCACAAUGGACGAAAGUCUGAUGGAGCAACGCCGCGUGAGUGAAGAAGGGUUUCGGCUCGUAAAGCCCUGUUGGUAGUGAAGAAAGUUAGAGGUAGUAACUGGCCUUUAUUUGACGGUAAUUACUUAGUAAGUCACGGCUAACUACGUGCCAGCAGCCGCGGUAAUACGUAGGUGGCUAGCGUUGUCCGGAUUUAUUGGGCGUAAAGCGAGUGCAUGCGGUUCAAUAAGUCUGAAGUGAAAGCCUUCGGCUCAACCGGAGAAUUGCAUCAGAAACUGUUGAACUUGAGUGCAGAAGAGGAGAGUGGAACUCCAUGUGUAGCGGUGGAAUGCGUAGAUAUAUGGAAGAACACCAGUGGCGAAGGCGGCGCUCUGGUCUGCAACUGACGCUGAGGCUCGAAAGCAUGGGUAGCGAACAGGAUUAGAUACCCCAGUAGUC
rnacentral:rRNA from 1 species